GAACGAACGCUGGCGGCAUGCGUAACACAUGCAAGUCGAACGAGACCUUCGGGUCUAGUGGCGGACGGGUGAGUAACGCGUGGGAACUUGCACUUCAGUGGGGGAUAACGACGGGAAACUGUCGCUAAUACCGCAUACGCCCUCAGGGGGAAAGAUUGAUCGAUGAAGGAUGGGCCCGCGUCGGAUUAGCUAGUUGGUGAGGUAACGGCCCACCAAGGGGACGAUCCGUAGCUGGUCUAAGAGGAUGAUCAGCCACACUGGGAGUGAGACACGGCCCAGAAUCUUACGGGAGGCAGCAGUGGGGAAUAUUGGACAAUGGGGGAAACCAUGAUCCAGCAAUGCUGCGUGAGUGAUGAAGGCCUUAGGGUAGUAAAGCUCUUUCGGUGGUGACGAUGAUGACGGUAACCACAGAAGAAGCCCCGGCUAACUCCGUGCCAGCAGCCGCGGUAAGACGGAGGGGGCUAGCGUUGUUCGGAAUUACUGGGCGUAAAGCGCGCGUAGGCGGCCUUUCAAGUCAGGUGUGAAAGCCCCGAGCUUAACUCGGGAACCGC
rnacentral:rRNA from 1 species